rnacentral:rRNA from 1 species
UACGUAGGGUGCGAGCGUUAAUCGGAAUUACUGGGCGUAAAGCGUGCGCAGGCGGUUUUGUAAGCCAGAUGUGAAAGCCCCGGGCUCAACCUGGGAAUGGCGAUGGAUACUGGCUCGCUAGAGUGCGGUAGAGGAGAGUGGAAUUCCCGGUGUAGCAGUGAAAUGCGUAGAGAUCGGGAGGAACAUCAGUUGCGAAGGCGGCUCUCUGGACCAGCACUGACGCUGAGGAGCGAAAGCGUGGGGAGCGAACAGG